rnacentral:rRNA from 1 species
CCCAACUAUCCCUAUUAAUCAUUACGGUGAUCCUAGAAACCAACAAAAUAGAACCAUGCCGUCCUAUUUUAUUAUUCCAUGCUAAUCUAUUCAAGCACUAGCCCGCUUUAAGCACUCUAAUUUUUUCAAGGUAAUAGAUCUGCUUCCCCAACGCACUAACUUAAUAGCAUGCUGGUUAUUCAGAAGGUAAGAAUCCAUCAAAUCAGUGCGGACAGUGAAGCCCGACCAAUUGACAAACCCCGAAAUUCAAC